rnacentral:rRNA from 1 species
AGCAGCCGCGGUAAUUCCAGCUCCAAUAGCGUAUAUUAAAGUUGUUGCAGUUAAAAAGCUCGUAGUUGAACUUCGGGGUUUACCCAUUGGUCAGGCUUAAUUGUCUGUACUGGUGAGAUAAAUCUCUACCUUCUGAGGAACUUUUAUGCCAUUAAUUUGGUGUGAUGGGAAAUCAGGACUGUUACUUUGAAAAAAUUAGAGUGUUUAAAGCAGGCUAACGUCUGAAUACAUUAGCAUGGAAUAAUGAAAUAGGACGGAUUGAUUCUAUUUCGUUGGUUUCUAGGGUCACCGUAAUGAUUAAUAGGGAUAGUUGGGGGCAUUAGUAUUCAAUUGUCAGAGGUGAAAUUCUUGGAUUUAUUGAAGACUAACUACUGCGAAAGCAUUUGUCAAGGAUGUUUUCAUUAAUCAAGAACGAAAGUUAGGGGAUCGAAGACGAUCAGAUACCGUCGUAGUCUUAACCAUAAACUAUGCCGACUAGGGAUCGGACGAAGUUAAUUUUAUAAUGACGCGUUCGGCACCUUACG